AUUGAACGCUGGCGGCAUGCCUUACACAUGCAAGUCGAACGGUAACAGGUCUUCGGAUGCUGACGAGUGGCGAACGGGUGAGUAAUACAUCGGAACGUGCCUAGUAGUGGGGGAUAACUACUCGAAAGAGUGGCUAAUACCGCAUGAGAUCUACGGAUGAAAGCAGGGGAUCGCAAGACCUUGUGCUACUAGAGCGGCCGAUGGCAGAUUAGGUAGUUGGUGGGAUAAAAGCUUACCAAGCCGACGAUCUGUAGCUGGUCCGAGAGGACGAUCAGCCACACUGGGACUGAGACACGGCCCAGACUCCUACGGGAGGCAGCAGUGGGGAAUUCUGGACAAUGGGCGCAAGCCUGAUCCAGCAAUGCCGCGUGCAGGAUGAAGGCCUUCGGGUUGUAAACUGCUUUUGUACGGAACGAAAAGCCCCGGGUUAAUACCCUGGGGUCAUGACGGUACCGUAAGAAUAAGCACCGGCUAACUACGUGCCAGCAGCCGCCGUAA
rnacentral:rRNA from 1 species